AGCAUGCUCCUUAGAUCCACCAAAUGGGGCUUUCGGGCCCACCAACUUUACUGGUUGGACAUCGUUGGUGAAUGAGUCAUAAGCAUGCCAGACAAUGCACCUCCUUCUGCCAGCCAUCCCAUCCCCCUGACACUUUGUGACCACCCCAUGCUGUGGUCCUGUCACCUUUAGUGGGGGGUGACCGGCUGGUGCUGGGGACAAA